rnacentral:rRNA from 1 species
CGGACGCUAAUACCGCAUACGUCCUACGGGAGAAAGCAGGGGACCUUCGGGCCUCGCGCUAUCAGAUGAGCCUAGGUCGGAUUAGCUAGUUGGUGAGGUAAUGGCUCACCAAGGCUACGAUCCGUAACUGGUCUGAGAGGAUGAUCAGUCACACUGGAACUGAGACACGGUCCAGACUCCUACGGGAGGCAGCAGUGGGGAAUAUUGGACAAUGGGCGAAAGCCUGAUCCAGCCAUGCCGCGUGUGUGAAGAAGGUCUUCGGAUUGUAAAGCACUUUAAGUUGGGAGGAAGGGCAUUAACCUAAUACGUUAGUGUUUUGACGUUACCGACAGAAUAAGCACCGGCUAACUCUGUGCCAGCAGCCGCGGUAAUACAGAGGGUGCAAGCGUUAAUCGGAAUUACUGGGCGUAAAGCGCGCGUAGGUGGUUUGUUAAGUUGAAUGUGAAAUCCCCGGGCUCAACCUGGGAACUGCAUCCAAAACUGGCAAGCUAGAGUAUGGUAGAGGGUAGUGGAAUUUCCUGUGUAGCGGUGAAAUGCGUAGAUAUAGGANAGNGAACNACCAGNUGGNCGAAGGCNGACUACCUGGACUGAUACUGACACUGNAGGUGCGAAAGCGUGGGGAGCAAACAGGAUUAGAUACCCUGGUAGUCCACGCCGUAAACGAUGUCAACUAGCCGUUGGGAGUCUUGAACUCUUAGUGGCGCAGCUAACGCAUUAAGUUGACCGCCUGGGGAGUACGGCCGCAAGGUUAAAACUCAAAUGAAUUGACGGGGGNCCCGCANCAAGCNGGUGGAGCAUGUGGUUUAAUUCGAUGCAACGCNGNAAGAACCUUACCUNACCCNUUGACAUCCAGAGGANCUUUCCAGANGANUGGAUUGGUGCCUUCGGGNAACUCUNNNGANGACANGGUGCNUGCNAUGGNCUGNUCGNUCNAGCNUNCGUGUUNGUGAAAUGUUGGGUUAAGUCCCGUAANCNGAGCGCAACCCNCUNAUNCCUUNAUUUGCCAGCNGAGUAAUGNUCGGGAACNUCUANNANGGNAGACUGCCGGUGACAAACCGGAGGAAGGUGGGGACGACGUCAAGUCAUCAUGGCCCUUACGGGUAGGGCUACACACGUGCUACAAUGGCAAGUACAAAGGGUUGCAAUACUGCGAAGUGGAGCCAAUCCCAUAAAGCUUGCCUCAGUCCGGAUUGGAGUCUGCAAACUCGACUCCAUGAAGUCGGAAUCGCUAGUAAUCGUGGAUCAGAAUGCCACGGGUGAAUACGUUCCCAGGGCCUUUGUACACACCGCCUCGUCACACCCAUGGGGAGUGGACUGCACCAGAAGUGGGUUAGC